rnacentral:rRNA from 1 species
CCUACGGGAGGCAGCAGUGAGGAAUAUUGGUCAAUGGCCGAGAGGCUGAACCAGCCAAGUCGCGUGAGGGAAGAAUGUCCUAUGGAUUGUAAACCUCUUUUGUCAGGGAGCAAAGUCACCCACGUGUGGGUGUUGGAGAGUACCUGAAGAAAAAGCAUAGGCUAACUCCGUGCCAGCAGCAGCGGUAAUACGGAGGAUGCGAGCGUUAUCCGGAUUUAUUGGGUUUCAAGGGUGCGUAGGCGGGUUAUCAAGUCAGCGGUAAAAUCGUGGAGCUCAACUCCAUCCAGCCGUUGAAACUGAUGAUCUUGAGUGGGCGAGAGGUGUGCGGAAUGCGUGGUGUAGCGGUGAAAUGCAUAGAUAUCACGCAGAACUCCGAUUGCGAAGGCAGCAUACCGGCGGCCGACUGACGCUGAAGCACGAAAGCGUGGGUAGCGAACAGGAUUAGAUACCCUAGUAGUC